AGAGAGGAGAAAUAGACACAGCUGUAGGAGGUUAGAGACGGAGUCCCUACUUCUGUUUCGGAUGUUGACUAAACAAUGUAGAUAGAUAUUGAUGUCAUAGCCUGGAGAGAGAAAUUCGGGAGUCAUCAGUGUUUGAAUGGAGACUGGAUGAGCUCACAAAGAGACUGGGACACUCAUCCCUUUAGCAGUCACGACAAUGAGAAGCAACCAGCAAAGGACACGGAGGAGUGGCCAGUGAAAUGGCAGAAGAACCCGUAGGCCUGUCCAUGUUUUCCUGCCCAGGGGCUCCCGAGGGCUGACUGGAGCCCAGCCUUAAACCCCAAAUCCAACCUGCAUUGUGGCCAAACGGAGUCAGUGCUCCCUGAACACAAACUGCAAGUUAGUUAUCAACAGGUACCUCCAAUGCCCUGUCAAUCACCCAUGUGAGGACAACCUGGCAGCAGGAAGGAGAAAAAACAGGAGCUGCUUUAAUCUCCCGGAAUCCUCACUUCUCCCCAUUCUUGUUGGUCCAAACCAUCAAGAUCUCUUGCCUGGGUGACGUCUCCUAACUCUUGCUGCCUUCUCUGUCACUACAAUAAUCAAAACCAUCCAAUGGCUUCCCAGUGCCUUUAGAAUUAAAUCCAAACUUGGUACUGUGGCCCCUGCUGCCGCCCCCCAAAAAAUCUCUCUCCCAUCCUUCCUGUUCUCUACCUGUUAAUGCCUUCCCAUCCCUCAGAACCCAU
rnacentral:lncRNA from 10 species